GACGUAGGAUGCGAGCGUUGUCCGGAUUUAUUGGGCGUAAAGAGUUCGUAGGUGGUUCAUUAAGUCUGAUGUUAAAGAUCGGGGCUCAACCUCGGGAGUGCAUUGGAUACUGGUGGACUUGAGUGCAGUAGAGGCAAGCGGAAUUCCCAGUGUAGCGGUGAAAUGCGUAGAUAUUGGGAAGAACACCGGUGGCGCAAGCGGCUUGCUGGGCUGU
rnacentral:rRNA from 1 species